GUCAAAGACGGCUAAGAUCCAAUUACAAUGGUACCAACCUAAGCCAGGAGGCUGAUGAUUUGAGGUCAGACCAUCCAAUGACGGGUAAGGACCAUAUGUAGUAUUGGACAACCUAAAACAGGCACGGUCCCUAAACCACAUACUUGUUGUUUAAUAAAACAAAAGGGGGGAGAUGUUGGGGACCGCAAAUCAAGUCAACAUGGUGCCUGGCAGUUAGCCAGGAGGAGUGGUUUGUGAGGCAACGCCACCAAGCCAUUAAGAUGGUG
rnacentral:lncRNA from 1 species